UGCCCGGCCGGUGGCGGGGCGGCCCUGCUGCUGCCCCGGGGCCCUCGGGCGGGGCGGAGAAGGGGCUCGGCAGCGGGACCUUCCGCUCGUUGCGGGACAGGCAGGGAGGGUGCAGCGGAGCGUUUAGUUGUGCCGGGCUGCGCUGCGCAGCCCAGCCCAGCCCAGCCACGGGAGCCUGAGGUGCCGGCCGAGCUUCGCUUCCCGCCUCUCCGGAGAAGGCGCGUUGGGGCAGGAAAAGAUUCCCAGUGCAAAAGCAGACACUAUGAUCAAGAAGUCAGCUUCCCAGGAUGCGGUUCAUCCUCUGCGCCAUGGGUGUGUUGACUUCUUUGGUUUCAGCUCAGCCACAUUGUUUCAGGUGACAUGAACAGUCUCAGCUCUAACAUGCAGGCAUGGCAGAUGAUUUACUUAGGAGACCUUUCUGGAAAAGAAUUGGAAAGAUGUGUGUCUGCACAGAAGGAAGAAGGCAUCUCCCUGUCCAGAGGGCUACUAUUCUUGAAGAAGGACGACAGCUGUGACUUCAAACACUGACUUUCUGGACUGAAAAACAAGAUGCCUUGCUGUUGUUCCUCCGCAGCUGAAAUGGAGCACUUGAAGUAACAGAUGCAGCUGGGCAACAGGCUUAUAAGCAAGGUGCCUGUCAUUCCUGGAGGACUAGCACUGGGAUCCCCAGGGUUCUUAUGGUUUGCACUAGACACCUGAGGCCUUAUUCACAUCAGCUGUGAAAGAUGAUUUUCAGUUCUACACUGUAAAAAAUACCCAGCUGUAACAUUUAAGAAUAUAUGGUCUACUGCAUAAAAUAAAAUCUCAUGGUAGUAGUGUG